CCGGAGUGGACGCAUCACUGGUGUUCGGGUUGUCAUGCCAAUGGCACUGCCCGGUAGCUAAAUGCGGAAAAGAUAAGUGCUGAAAGCAUCUAAGCACGAAACUUGCCCCGAGAUGAGUUCUCCCUGAGACCUUGAGUCUCCUGAAGGAACGUUGAAGACGACGACGUUGAUAGGUCGGGUGUGUAAGCGCAGCGAUGCGUUGAGCUAACCGAUACUAAUGAACCGUGAGGCUUAACCUUACAACGCCGAAGCUGUU
rnacentral:rRNA from 1 species